GGAAAAUACUAGAAUUAAAAAUCUUACACAAACCUCAAAAUAUCUGAUCCCAGUGGGCCCCAUCUGUCCACUCUUUCGUCCACACAACUUCUUCUUCAACUGCUAAAACGAGAAAAGAAAAUACCAGGUCGGUUCUUCUCCUCCUUCCUUCCCCUUUCCUUAAUUCCUUCAAAUUAAUUUAGGUUUUAUGUUAAUAAUUUGUCUCUUAGUACUUUUUCUUGUCCAGGAAAAUAUGUGGGGAGGAAAACUUAGGAUUGCUACAGUGAAAGUUGAACAGGAAAUGGAAAUGCAAGGACAACCCUCCACCGCCUUAUGGUUCUUGGCUGAUAUUUUUGGCUUCUGGGCGGCGGCAAUACCUAUAUAUACCCAACCCCACCCCUUCUCACCGACCAUUUUUCGUCCACAAAACUACUACCGGGAUUUCCUCUAUAAUCUGCUCCAAAAUCCCAAGAAACUAAUUCAAGAACCAUACUUUGAUAGACAGGAAUGGACCCUGAAGAUCAUAAGACCCUAUUUUCUUCUUCUUGUGGAGAAUCUGAUAUUCCUAUACAGCCUAAAAC
rnacentral:lncRNA from 1 species